UUCCGGUUGAUCCUGCCGGAGGCCAUUGCUAUCGGUGUCCGAUUUAGCCAUGCGAGUCGCGCGGGUUCAGACCCGCGGCAGACUGCUCAGUAACACGUGGCCAAGCUACCCUGUGGACAGGGAUAAUCUCGGGAAACUGAGGCUAAUCCCUGAUAGGGCUCCCAUCCUUGAAUGGAGGGAGUCCGAAACGCUCCGGCGCCACAGGAUGCGGCUGCGGCCGAUUAGGUAGAUGGUGGGGUAACGGCCCACCAUGCCGAUAAUCGGUACGGGUUGUGAGAGCAAGAGCCCGGAGACGGACUCUGAGACACGAGUCCGGGCCCUACGGGGCGCAGCAGGCGCGAAACCUUUACACUGCACGAGAGUGCGAUAGGGGGACACCGAGUGCGCAGGCAUAGAGCCUGCGCUUUUCUGUACCGUAAGGUGGUACAGGAAUAAGGGCUGGGCAAGACCGGUGCCAGCCGCCGCGGUAACACCGGCAGCCCAAGUGAUGGCCGAUUUUAUUGGGCCUAAAGCGUCCGUAGCUGGCCGGAUUGGUCCGUUGGGAAAUCUGCUCGCUUAACGAGCAGGCGUCCGGCAGAUACCAUCUGGCUUGGGACCGGGAGACCUGAGGGGUACGUCCGGGGUAGGAGUGAAAUCCUGUAAUCCUGGACGGACCACCGGUGGCGAAAGCGCCUCAGGAGAACGGAUCCGACAGUGAGGGACGAAAGCUAGGGUCUCGAACCGGAUUAGAUACCCGGGUAGUCCUAGCUGUAAACGAUGCUCGCUAGGUGUGGCGCAGGCUACGAGCCUGCGCUGUGCCGUAGGGAAGCCGUGAAGCGAGCCGCCUGGGAAGUACGUCUGCAAGGAUGAAACUUAAAGGAAUUGGCGGGGGAGCACUACAACCGGAGGAGCCUGCGGUUUAAUUGGACUCAACGCCGGU
rnacentral:rRNA from 1 species